GAUGAACGCUGGCGGCGUGCUUAACACAUGCAAGUCGAACGGAAAGGCUCCUGCUUGCAUUGGUACUCGAGUGGCGAACGGGUGAGUAUCACGUGGGUGAUCUGCCCUGCACUUCGGGAUAUGCCUGGGAAACUUGGUUUAAUACCGGAUAUGACCACAUUCUGCACGUUGUGGUGUAAAGAUUUUCGGUGUGGGAUGAGCUCGCGGCCUAUCAGCUUGUUGGUGGGGUAAUGGCCUACUAAGGCGUCGACGGGUAGCCGGCCUGAGGGGGUGUACGGCCACAUUGGGACUGAGAUACGGCCCAGAAGCCUACGGGAGGCAGCAGUGGGGACUAUUGCACAAUGGGCGCAAGCGUGCUGCAGCGGCGCCGGGUGGGGGAUGACGGCCUUCGGGUGGUAAACUCCUUUCGCAAGGAACGAAGCGAAAGUGACAGUACCUGGAGAAGAAGCACCGGCUAACUACGUG
rnacentral:rRNA from 1 species